UCGGAAUGUAGCUCAGCUUGGUAGAGCACUUGGUUUGGGACCAAGGGGUCGUAGGUUCGAAUCCUGUCAUUCCGAUC
rnacentral:tRNA from 1 species